GAGAGAGGCUCGCAGCAACGAAGACUGCUAAUCCUCGUAACUUGGGUUGGACUCCCGUGCUCACUCG
rnacentral:tRNA from 4 species